UAACAAGGUUUCCGUAGGUGAACCUGCGGAAGGAUCAUUAAAGCGUUGCCGACGUCGGCCCCGGCCGUUCGGCUUGAAAUAUAGCCUGGACGGUGCUGGAGGUCGCCGGCAGUUGCCCAUUCUUGCCUACUGACCCAGUUGCCUCGGCGAGCCGUGCCACUCGUGGCAGACCGGAAGCCGUUUGAACCCCUAGGGCUCAGGCGGCCCCGGCCAGUGCCCGCCGACGGACAGACUUAAAAUCUUUAUAUAUUGGCCGUCUGAGCGUAUAAAGCAAAUCAAUUAAAACUUUCAACAACGGAUCUCUUGGUUCCGGCAUCGAUGAAGAACGCAGCGAAAUGCGAUAAGUAAUGUGAAUUGCAGAAUUCCGUGAAUCAUCGAAUCUUUGAACGCACAUUGCGCCCCCUGGUAUUCCGGGGGGCAUGCCUGUUCGAGCGUCAUUGCAACCCUCAAGCUCGGCUUGUGUGAUGGGCGACCGUCCUUCCCCUAGGGGCGGGACGCGUCCGAAAAGCAGUGGCUAGGCCGCGAUUCCGGCGCCUGAGCGAAUGGGACUUCCACCGCUUCUAGGACCGGCCGGCACUUGGCCUUUAAACACGGUCUUAACUGACCAUCUAGGUUGACCUCGGAUCAGGUAGGGAUACCCGCUGAACUUAAGCAUAUC
rnacentral:misc_RNA from 1 species